ensembl:misc_RNA 7SK 7SK RNA
GGGUGAAAGGGCCGUAUGGCUGCGACAUUAGUCACCCCAUUGAUCACCAGGGUUGAUUGGUCUGACCUGGCUGCUAAGGCGGGUGUCUCCUUCCUCACCACUUUUAAGUGCAUCCCUCUGGAAGCUGCACCAUCAGUCAAAGAGGACAACCUUCCCAAAAGAUAGACAGGUCAGUAUUCAGUGGAGGUUAUACAAAUAAUUCCACAGCCCUGUUAAAACCUUCCAAUAAGCUCUCUGGACCCAUUUGUAGGAGAAUAUAAGGUAGUCUAGCUCCCAGAACUCCAGACAUAUCCAAAUGAGGCAUUGCAUGUAGCAUUCUGCUUUAAAU